GCCUGCUUUAAUUAUUUAAAUGUUGUAUAGGGGAAUGAAUUAUCUUCACAAGCACAAGCCCAAGCCAAUAGUGCAUAACAAUUUGGAUCCCAGAAAUUUAUUGCAAGAUGAAAGUGGGCACUUAAAAAUUGGGGAGUAUUGGGUUCAAAUGCUGUAUGAACAAAUACAACCAAAUCAAGACGCCUCUCAAAUAAAUGAAAUUUGUGACACCAAAAAAGAUGUUCGUGCAUUUGGCUUCAUACUUUACCAG